rnacentral:tRNA from 1 species
AUCUACAUAGUUUAAAUAAAACAAAACAUUGAAGAUGUUUAAAUGAUUAAAAUCUUUAGAUA